GAUGAACGCUAGCGGCAGGCCAAUACAUGCAAGUCGAACGGUGGUCGCAAGACCAUAGUGGCGCACGGGUGCGUAACGCGUAACCAACCUACCCGAAUCUGGGGGAUAGCCCGCCGACAGGCGGAUUAAUACCGCAUAACACUAGGUGGCGGCAUCGUCUCUUAGUUAAAGAUUUAUUGGAUUUGGAUGGGGUUGCGUGCCAUUAGCUAGUUGGUAAGGUAACGGCUUACCAAGGCGACGAUGGCUAGGGGAGCUGAGAGGCUGGUCCCCCACACGGGCACUGAGAUACGGGCCCGACUCCUACGGGAGGCAGCAGUAGGGAAUAUUGGGCAAUGGCCGAGAGGCUGACCCAGCCAUGCCGCGUGCAGGAUGAAGGCUUUCUGAGUCGUAAACUGCUUUUGCCAGGGAAGAAAAAAGGGUGUGCGCACUCUACUGACGGUACCUGGUGAAUAAGCACCGGCUAACUCCGUGCCAGCCGCCGCGGUAAUAC
rnacentral:rRNA from 1 species